rnacentral:rRNA from 1 species
UGGGGAAUCUUGCGCAAUGGGCGAAAGCCUGACGCAGCGACGCCGCGUGGGGGAUGACGGGUUUCGGCUUGUAAACCCCUGUUGCCCGGGACGAACUUCUCCUUUCGAGGAGAUUGACGGUACCGGGUGAGGAAGCACCGGCUAACUCUGUGCCAGCAGCCGCGGUAAUACAGAGGGUGCGAGCGUUGUCCGGAAUCACUGGGCGUAAAGGGCGCGUAGGUGGCGACCCAAGUCAAUGGUGAAAGCUCGAUGCUCAACAUCGAGUCGGCCACUGAUACUGGGUUGCUCGAGCACUGUAGAGGCAGAUGGAAUUCCGGGUGUAGCGGUGGAAUGCGUAGAGAUCCGGAAGAACACCGGUGGCGAAGGCGGUCUGCUGGGCAGUUGCUGACACUGAGGCGCGACAGCGUGGGGAGCAAACAGG